rnacentral:miRNA from 15 species
ACUCAAACUUGGGGGCACUUUC